UUGUUUUUUAUUUUGUGGUGAUUUUUUUUACACACAAGGUGAGAAUGGAAGGGAAAAAAGCAAAAAAAUUCUCUUCUCACGUCCCUCCAGCGAGCAUUCAUCCGGAUUGUUCGAGCAAAGAAGGCGCGUCCUAGAACCUGUGCCGGCCCGCAACUGAAAUACGCAUAUAGUGUAUAUGUAUUCUGAAGCAGCAAUGUGGUCUUUUCACCUCUCUCCGGCGGGCAUGCAUCUGGAUUGUUGGAGCAAAGAGGGGCCGUCCCAGGGACCGGGGCGGCCCCCCACUGGUAAGUCUUCUGUGUUGCCUCUUGCUACCUACUAACCCUUUUUUUUUAAUCGCAGCAAAGACUAUGCAAUACCAAGAUAUUGCAUCAGAAAAAAUGGAUUUGCGGAAGCAUCAAUGUACAUACAUAUUCGGUCCUGUUGGCCAACGGUUCCAGAUUAGGUAUUAGGUAUUAAUCCCACACCUUGGCUAUGAACACGUUUACUCACAUUUAUUUUCUGGGACCACAAUUUAGUUCUCGAAACACCACGAGGAGAAAGAAAAACUGGGACUAGUCUACCGAUUGAAAGAAAUGGGUUCUCCGGAUCUUUCUUUGCCCAAUCAUUCGCCAAUCACCCUGAACGGUUGGUUAAAUUGUGGGGAGCUCCUUUUCGUUUUAAACCCAUUCUUAACAUUCUUCUUAAAACCAACAUACCUAAAAACUAAUUUUGUAUUCCCCAUACUGAAUAAUCAGCACGUAUACCUUUUAUCAAUAAUAGGCGGAGCUCGGCAGUAUAAUUUU